AUGGCCGCCGCCCCCUCCCCUUCCACCGUGGCCGCCGCCCCCUAUCGCCCGACGGCAAGCCCGCCCUCCCAUCCCCCUUUCCUCUGGUUGCCCUCACGCACUGCAUCGCCUCCUGGUCGCCCUCUCUCUCUCUCUCUGUAUUCCCCCCUGCCGCCGCCACCACGGCCAACUCCGGCGAGGUCGGUCGCCAUAUAG
rnacentral:rRNA from 1 species